UGCUGUUCAUUUCCACUGCCUGCCAAGCUCUCGCUACCAUCAACAUCCACUCUCCCAUUUAGGCUAAGCGUGUGGAGUUAGAUUAGAGAGCGUCUCCAACCGAUGCCUUGCUUGGGCUCUCAUAUCGUUUUUGAGAGUUUUGCCAAAAAAACGUCCUGCAACCGAACUCUCAUCUCGAUCCCGUCCUCAUCCGGACUCUCAUCCGCCGGCCUCGGACUCUCAUCCGGAGGAGCUCCCGGCUGAACCCUCAUCCGGCCGAGGCGAGCAACUGCCGCUCCUCCCGCGCCGCCGCGGAGUCUUCGCGCCUGUACGCAUGACAGAUGGGCGAAAUGACGAUGAAGAUUUCGACUACGACGGUGUUGGCCAAGUUGUGAUACCUACGCCACAUGAAGUGCGUAACCGUACUCAAGAACUACAUGAUUUCAUCCAAGUUCAUCAUAAUAUAAGAGACUUGCAAGGCCAUUCUCCACUUCAAGAAGAUCUAAUCGAGCACCUGUGGUACCGACAUGCGGACAUGCAUGUAUUAUUUUCUCGUUAAUGUGCCAUGUAGUUUCUUUAAAUCAUGUAUUUUAUUCGUGUGGACUUUGUACGAACACCCACCUGUAGACUAUCAUGUUCAUUUUUGUUUGUCUUUAUUAUGCGUGGAUUAUUAGCA